rnacentral:rRNA from 1 species
CCUACGGGUGGCUGCGGUGGGGAAUAUUGCACAAUGGGCGCAAGCCUGAUGCAGCCAUGCCGCGUGUGUGAAGAAGGCCUUCGGGUUGUAAAGCACUUUCAGCGGGGAGGAAGGCGGUGAGGUUAAUAACCUCAUCGAUUGACGUUACCCGCAGAAGAAGCACCGGCUAACUCCGUGCCAGCAGCCGCGGUAAUACGGAGGGUGCAAGCGUGUAAUCGGAAUUACUGGGCGUAAAGCGCACGCAGGCGGUCUGUCAAGUCGGAUGUGAAAUCCCCGGGCUCAACCUGGGAACUGCAUUCGAAACUGGCAGGCUAGAGUCUUGGAGAGGGGGGGAGAAUUCCAGGGGGAGCGGUGAAAUGCGUAGAGAUCUGGAGGAAUACCGGUGGCGAAGGCGGCCCCCUGGACAAAGACUUACGGUCAGGUGCGAAAGCGUGGGGAGCAAACAGGAUUAGAUACCCGAGUAGUC